rnacentral:sRNA from 23 species
UACAAGAUGGGAUAGGGUGAUGCAGUAUCCUAGUCAGAGUGGCUGCUUUCGAAGGCGGGCCUAAAAAUCCGCCAAAGGGCACACCGAUGAAGUUCCUGGUUUUGGCUUCUGACGCCCAGUCAGGGGUUGAAGCUGGGAGUAAGGGAUAAGGGAGUCCUGCAAUGGCAUGCAGGAUGGAACCCUUUUCCCGUGGAGGCUAACGCACAAAAAGAAAACUAAAUUCUUUUUGUGCGUUAGUAAAACCUACCACCAGGUACAUCUAUAAUUAAGUAGAUGUGCUUGGGGUAGUGUAGCCUGCCUUGAGCGAAAUAGACGGAUGGCCGAAUUUAUGGCUCCUCUAAAAAUAGGGCCCGUUUUUAGAGGAGUCUUGAGGCCUGAAAUCUAUUUCGCAAAAGAGGCUAGAAAGCAUGCCCUCUGUCGAGGAAAGCUCCUAGGCUGUGCCGACUUUCGGCUUUACGAAGGGGAUUAAAGUGCGGACUUAGUGGCGAUCUGGUUGUGUGUUGGGCAACCGCACACCCAGACUUUUAAAGGGAAACCGCCUCCUGGCGACGGGAGGUAAGUUUGGGGGAAAUCCUACCAGACCUUAAGCCGCAAAAUUUACCCUUCGUAAAAUCACCCUAUCCCAUAAAUUU